UCCUCUGUAGGUUAAGGAGAAACUGCUAGUUUGUGGUGCUGGAGAUUUUGUGGAACGGAGGAA
rnacentral:tRNA from 1 species